rnacentral:rRNA from 3 species
GGAGGUAGUGACAAUAAAUCACAAUGCGGGACUGUUAGUCUUGCAAUUGGAUUGAGAACAACGUACAACUCUUAUCGAUAAGCCAUUGGAGGGCAAGUCUGGUGCCAGCAGCCGCGGUAAUUCCAGCUCCAAUAGCGUAUAUUAACGUUGUUGCAGUUAAAAAGCUCGUAGUUGAAGUGAGGGAGUGUGUAGUAGGACCGACUUGAUCGGAACUGCUGCAACCUCCCCCCUCCAAUCGGUGUAGUGGGGUAUUCAGUUAUUCUACUACUCCUUUGGUCGUUUACUGUGAGAAAAUUAGAGUGUUCAAAGCGGGCGUUUGUUUGAAUAGAUUAGCAUGGAAUAAUGAUUGAAGGCUUUCGUGUUCGAUUUGAUUGGUUUGUUCAUGGAAGCAAGGUUAAAAGGAACAGUUGGGGGUAUUCAUAUUCACUAGUUAGAGGUGAAAUUCUCGGAUUUAUGGAAGAUGAACAAGUGCGAAAGCA